rnacentral:lncRNA from 1 species
ACCCUGUCCACAGCCCCCACACAGACUCGAGGGGCCCCCAUCUCCUGUUCUGAACCCAACAGGGUGGUCCCACUGUGGGACCACAACCAGGUAUGACUGUGUGAGAAGCAGGCUCACUACCAGGCUACCAGGGAGCACAGGGGAGCAGGCGCCACCUUGAGGCAUAAACCCAGAGAAACAAGACCUCCAAGACGGCCAGGCACUGGGGCACACGCCGGUAACACAGCACCGUGGGAGCUGAGACGGAAGGAUCGCCUGGGCCCAGGAUUUUGAAACCACCCUGGGCAACACAGUGAGACCCCGUAUCUACAAAAAAAUACACAUUAGCCAGGCAUGGCGGCAUGCGCCUGUGGUCCCAAGUACUCGGGAGGUAGAGGAGAGAAAAAUCACUUGAGCCCAGAGAGGUCAAGGCUACAGGGAGCUAAGAUCGCAUCACUGUACUCCAGCUGGGGUGAAACGGCGAGACUCUACCUCAAAAAUAAAUAAAUACAUACAUAAUUAAUAAAUAAAACAUCAAAGACCAGCCGACCUAACUCCAUCUAAAAUACACAACUUCUACGCAAAAUAUAAAUAAAAUUAGAAAACAAACUACAAUCUCAGAAAAGCACUAGCAACUUAGACGACAUACUAAAGGCCAAAAAUACCCUCCUGACACACAGCUAAUAAAGAAAAAGUCAACUAUUCCAGUUAAAAAGAAGAAAAGGAAACUGGCUGUGGUGGCUUAUGCCUGUAAUCCCAGUGCUUUGGGAAGGCCAGGAGUUUGAGACCAGGAUGGACAGCAUAGCAAGACCCCAUCUCUACAAGGAAAAAAAGAAUCAGCCAGGCAUGGUGGUGUGGAGCUGUAGUUCCAACUACUCGGGGGGCUGAGGAGGAAGGAUCGCUUGAGCCAGGGAGGUCGAGGCUGCAGUGAGCUAUGAUUGUGCCACUGCAGUCCAGCCUGGGCGACAGAGCAAGACCCGGUCUCGAAAGAAAAGAAAGAGAAAGCAAGAAAAGAAAGAUGGCUGGGCACGGUGGCUC